rnacentral:rRNA from 1 species
GAUGAACGCUGGCGGCGUGCCUAAUACAUGCAAGUCGAGCGAACGGACGAGAAGCUUGCUUUUCUGAUGUUAGCGGCGGACGGGUGAGUAACACGUGGAUAACCUACCUAUAAGACUGGGAUAACUUCGGGAAACCGGAGCUAAUACCGGAUAAUAUUUUGAACCGCAUGGUUCAAAAGUGAAAGACGGUCUUGCUGUCACUUAUAGAUGGAUCCGCGCUGCAUUAGCUAGUUGGUAAGGUAACGGCUUACCAAGGCAACGAUGCAUAGCCGACCUGAGAGGGUGAUCGGCCACACGGGAACUGAGACACGGUCCAGACUCCGACGGGAGGCAGCAGUAGGGAAUCUUCCGCAAUGGGCGAGAGCCUGACGGAGCAACGCCGCGUGAGUGAUGAAGGUCUUCGGAUCGUAAAACUCUGUUAUUAGGGAAGAACAUAUGUGUAAGUAACUGUGCACAUCUUGACGGUACCUAAUCAGAAAGCCACGGCUAACUACGUG